UAGCCGUAAACGAUACUCGCUAGGUGUCGGCCACGGUGCGACCGUUGUCGGUGCCGUAGGGAAGCCGUGAAGCGAGCCACCUGGGAAGUACGGCCGCAAGGCUGAAACUUAAAGGAAUUGGCGGGGGAGCACAACAACGGGUGGAGCUUGCGGUUUAAUCGGAUUCAACGCCGGAAAUCUUACCGGGACCGACAGCAACAUGAAGGCCAAGCUGAAGACUUUGCCGGAUUAGCUGAGAGGAGGUGCAUGGCGUAGUCGUGU
rnacentral:rRNA from 1 species